GAUGAACGCUGGCGGCGUGCCUAAUACAUGCAAGUAGAACGCUGAAGGAGGAGCUUGCUCUUCUGGAUGAGUUGCGAACGGGUGAGUAACGCGUAGGUAACCUGCCUGGUAGCGGGGGAUAACUAUUGGAAACGAUAGCUAAUACCGCAUGACAACAGUUAUUGCAUGAUAACUGUUUAAAAGGGGCAACUGCUCCACUACCAGAUGGACCUGCGUUGUAUUAGCUAGUUGGUGAGGUAACGGCUCACCAAGGCGACGAUGCAUAGCCGACCUGAGAGGGUGAUCGGCCACACUGGGAGUGAGACACGGCCCAGACUCCUACGGGAGGCAGCAGUAGGGAAUCGGCGGCAAUGGACGGAAGUCUGACCGAGCAACGCCGCGUGAGUGAAGAAGGUUGUCGGAUCGUAAAGCUCUGUUGUAAGAGAAGAACGAGUGUGAGAGUGGAAAGUUCACACUGUGACGGUAUCUUACCAGAAAGGGACGGCUAACUACGUG
rnacentral:rRNA from 1 species